ACGGUGGAAGCACGAGAGGCCGCCCCCAGCUGCUCAUCUGGAUACCCAGUGCUACCAAACUGCAGUGCAGGUGCUGGGGCACACACAAAAAGUCUGUCAGCCUCGACACGCCAACAGAGACGCGAAACCGAAGCCGGAAAGUGUGCAAGGUGCCCGUGUGGCACACCUGGCAAGGCGCAAGGACAACGCCGCCUAAGCGUUUCGAGAACACCACUUCCUAGUUGUUUUUUCAACAAGCGUACCAGCACGGGGUUUGCUUGCACAUCAACAACUCGUCCGGGGUUACCCGCCCCAGCGAGACCUCCAAACCGCUGUCGCCGUUGCCGUGACCCAACCUCCCAAGGCGCACCGGCUGCUCCACUGCGUUGACAACACCGACUCGUCGCUUUGCAAGCGAGUCGUCGCGCACGCUGCGGGUCAGGUGCAACACGACGUAUUGACCCCGGCUUUUUUCUCAUUGUUUUCCUGCUUCAACCAAGUGACCGGGUCACUGCAAAGCAUGACGAAUAGGGGCGGUUGGACGGCGAAGGGCUCACAAACAGAAGCACUACGCAGUACGAGAAACGACCACAACAACGACAACGAGCAGCGUCGGGCGCGCGAAACCUCUCCUUCCAGCGCUGGGACUGGUCAGACCGUGCCGGUUUUUCAGAGCGCACUCGUUGAGCAGCUCAUGCGCCAACGCUGGACAGAGGUGCUCGCACUCUGGCAACGGCAGAGGCAACAGGCAGAGCGACAGGAAGUGGUCGUUUACAGCGACGCAACACCGGCGUGGAAACAGGCCUCCAAGUCGUUGACGCGGCCACGCUUCCCGGACCUGGUGCAGCAAGGGCUCCAACGUCAGCAGCAAAGCGUCAAGUCACUGGAAGCGGCAGCGUCGCUGACGCCUUGACGCGCUGCGGACUGCGUUCGACGACGGUGCUCGUAAAGCGGCUAGUCGACAACGAUGACGACACUGGGCAACCGCUGAGGCGACUCGGAUACCUAGCGCCUUUCGCGCUGUAGCACUGACCAUGUGUCUGCUUGGAGCGAUACCGCUUUGAAGGGAAUCGUCUGCUCGUUGAAGUACGCUUCAAACUGGGCUCGGAUCGUGAAUGUUCCUUGUCCCGGAGAAUCCUCGCUGUCGAUGCUAAGCAGCGGUGCCUCGUCUCUGCUGUAGCGGUUGCUGUGUUUCAGCGACGGUCUGCGUCUCUCGUGCAUGGUAUGCGAUAGCUCUCGCUGUCCAUCCGUUGCAACAGUGCCGCGGGUCUACGACUACUGCUGCUACUGCUGCAGAUGAUAUGCUCAUCUCAUGCAUCCUUCCUGUUCCGUAGAUGCCAAUCUAUGGCGAAAAUGCAGCGAGCGAGCUGCUGCACCGCUAGACUGCCGCAAGCGUAGAUCGCUCCAAUCCACAGUGGAAUAUGACACCAAACUUCAGGAUGAGCGUAGUGGUACAGAUGGAGCCCAUCAAUGAGCCAGAGUUCGACGAAUGGACCCAGCAUCGCGGUGCUUAUCAUGACGCCAAACUCCGCAGCAGUGGAGCUCUCCAGUACCCAGCACUGAACUGGAAGCAAGCUCGAUAGUACGAGGGCGAUCAUAGCCGUACCCAAGUGUCCGCUGCCGUCUAAAUAAGCGCUCAGCCAGUACUGAAAGGUAAAUAGCGCCACGCCAGCUGCUGUUCGCACGACGAGUUCUGGGCGAAACGGAGUCUGGCGGGACUGGAGUCCCAGACGCGCCAGCAUCGACCCAGCCACGCCAAAGAGAAUCGGUGUCCACCAGGUAAAGCCGACGGCGGUCUGAAAGCCGACGUGAACGUUCCAGUUCACUUUGUGGUACUGGAGUGUACCGUAGGUCGUAUGAAACGCAUCCAACAGCGGUCCAUAUACGGUGCUCAAGAGCGCUGUCAGAAGCACUGCACGAUUGGCUGCACUGCCAGUCUCACAGGGUAGAGAAGGCUCAGUGAUCAGGGGUGUUCUGAGUCUGAAACUUUUAAAAAACGUUGCAUGUCGAUGCUCAUCGCUGCAACAGCGCACCAAA